rnacentral:rRNA from 1 species
UCGAGCGGUAGCACAGAGAGCUUGCUCUCGGGUGACGAGCGGCGGACGGGUGAGUAAUGUCUGGGAAACUGCCUGAUGGAGGGGGAUAACUACUGGAAACGGUAGCUAAUACCGCAUAAUGUCGCAAGACCAAAGAGGGGGACCUUCGGGCCUCUUGCCAUCAGAUGUGCCCAGAUGGGAUUAGCUAGUAGGUGGGGUAACGGCUCACCUAGGCGACGAUCCCUAGCUGGUCUGAGAGGAUGACCAGCCACACUGGAACUGAGACACGGUCCAGACUCCUACGGGAGGCAGCAGUGGGGAAUAUUGCACAAUGGGCGCAAGCCUGAUGCAGCCAUGCCGCGUGUAUGAAGAAGGCCUUCGGGUUGUAAAGUACUUUCAGCGGGGAGGAAGGUGCUGAGGUUAAUAACCUCAGCAAUUGACGUUACCCGCAG